rnacentral:rRNA from 1 species
GACGAACGCUGGCGGCGUGCUUAACACAUGCAAGUCGAACGGAAAGGCCCUGCUUUUGUGGGGUGCUCGAGUGGCGAACGGGUGAGUAACACGUGAGUAACCUGCCCUUGACUUUGGGAUAACUUCAGGAAACUGGGGCUAAUACCGCAUAGGAGCUCCUGCUGCAUGGUGGGGGUUGGAAAGUUUCGGCGGUUGGGGAUGGACUGGCGGCUUAUCAGCCUGUUGGUGGGGUAGUGGCUUACCAAGGCUUUGACGGGUAGCCGGCCUGAGAGGGUGACCGGCCACAUUGGGACUGAGGUACGGCCCAGACGCCUACGGGAGGCAGCAGUGGGGAAUAUUGCACAAUGGGCGGAAGCCUGAUGCAGCAACGCCGCGUGCGGGAUGACGGCCUUCGGGUUGUAAACCGCUUUCGCCUGUGACGAAGCGUGAGUGACGGUAAUGGGUAAAGAAGCACCGGCUAACUACGUG